AGCCCCAAAUGUCUAUGACACUGAGGCUGGGAAACCUUGCAUUAAAGGAGAGGAGACGAAGGGAGGAAAAAGCAAAGACAUUGUAUUAUUCUCAUUUUACAGAAGAUGAAACUGGAACUUCAGAAGGGCUGUAGCAGCGGCCAGGAAGAAAACCGCCCCCUCUGAAAGUUGUUUUUGUGACUGUUCUUUGGAGCAUUGUUCUAAAAAUGGGAAAUUACAUACUGCCGGGCCAAAGGAAACAAACACCUGCAGUUAAAGGCAUACCUUCCUCGAGGUGGCUUUUAGAGCCCAGCCCGUUCUGGGUGUAGGGCUGCUGCAGGAGUUCCACUUGGUGCGUCUCUUCUUUUCUACGGGGAUCGGGUGUGGGCUUAUAUUUGUAACCAGGGUGGGCUUGGGCAACUACCGGGUUCUGGUGAUUGUCUUUUACUCAUUCAUCCAAUAAACAUCUAUUGAGCAUC